rnacentral:rRNA from 1 species
GUGGGGAGCCGGGACAGCUUUCCUGGUUCAUCGGAUCAGGUCGAAGGUGUUCCGGUGGUCAUAGCGAGAGGGAAACGCCCGGUCACAUUCCGAACCCGGAAGCUAAGCCUCUCAGCGCCGAUGGUACUGCAAGGGGGACCUUGUGGGAGAGUAGGACGCCGCCGGAC